UACGGGGGGAGCAAGCGUUAUUCGGAAUUAUUGGGCGUAAAGGGCGCGUAGGCGGCCAUUCAAGUGACGGGUGAAAGCCCUCGGCUUAACCGAGGAACUGCCUGUCAGACUGGAUGGCUCGAGACCGGGAGAGGUGAGUGGAAUUCCCAGUGUAGCGGUGAAAUGCGUAGAUAUUGGGAGGAACACCAGUGGCGAAGGCGGCUCACUGGACCGGAACUGACGCUGAGGCGCGAAAGCUAGGGGAGCGAACGGG
rnacentral:rRNA from 1 species